AACGAACGCUGGCGGCGCGCCUAAUACAUGCAAGUCGAGCGAGAAGGUGUAGCAAUACACUUGUAAAGCGGCGAACGGGUGAGGAAUACAUGGGUAAUCUACCAUCGAGUGGGGAAUAACCAGCCGAAAGGUUGGCUAAUACCGCGUACGCCUCCGAAUCUUCGGGUUCGGAGGGAAAGCCACACUGUGAGUGCGGCGCUCUUUGAUGAGCUCAUGGUCCUAUCAGCUUGUUGGUAGGGUAACGGCCUACCAAGGCUUUGACGGGUAGCUGGUCUGAGAGGACGAUCAGCCACACUGGGCACUGCGACACGGGCCAGACUCCUACGGGAGGCAGCAGUAAGGAAUAUUGCGCAAUGGGCGAAAGCCUGACGCAGCGACGCCGCGUGGGGGAUGAAGGUCUUCGGAUUGUAAACCCCUUUCGGGAGGGAAGAUGGAGCGAGCAAUCGUUCGGACGGUA
rnacentral:rRNA from 1 species